rnacentral:rRNA from 1 species
AGAGUUUGAUCCUGGCUCAGGACUAACGCUGGCGGCGUGCCUAACACAUGCAAGUCGAACGAGGUAGCAAUACCUAGUGGCAGACGGGUGAGUAACACGUAGUCAACCUACCUUUUAGUGGGGGAUAACUAGCCGAAAGGUUAGCUAAUACCGCAUACGAUCGCCGGAUGGCAUCAUCUGGCGAUGAAAGCAGCAAUGCG